AUUGAACGCUGGCGGCAGGCUUAACACAUGCAAGUCGAGCGAGCGGCGGACGGGAGAGUAAUGUAUGGGAAACUUCCUGAUGGAGGGGGAUAACUACUGGAAACGGUAGCUAAUACCGCAUACCAUCAGAUGUGCCCAGAUGGGAUUAGGGAGUAGGUUGGGUAAUGGCUCACCUAGGCGACGAUCACUAGCUGGUCUGAGAGGAUGACCAGCCACACUGGAACUGAGACACGGUACAUACUCCUACGGGAGGGAGCAGUGGGGAAUAUUGCACAAUGGGCGCAAGCCUGAUGCAGCCAUGCCGCGUGUGUGAAGAAGGCCUUCGGGUUGUAAAGCACUUUCAGCUAGGAGGCGUUACUCGCAGAAGAAGCACCGGCUAACUUCGUGCCAGCCGCCGCGGUAAUUC
rnacentral:rRNA from 1 species